rnacentral:rRNA from 1 species
UACGGGAGGCAGCAGUGGGGAAUAUUGCACAAUGGGCGCAAGCCUGAUGCAGCCAUGCCGCGUGUAUGAAGAAGGCCUUCGGGUUGUAAAGUACUUUCAGUCGUGAGGAAGGUGUUAAGGUUAAUAACCUUAGCAAUUGACGUUAGCGACAGAAGAAGCACCGGCUAACUCCGUGCCAGCAGCCGCGGUAAUACGGAGGGUGCGAGCGUUAAUCGGAAUUACUGGGCGUAAAGGGCACGCAGGCGGUUAAUUAAGUUGGAUGUGAAUCCCCGGGCUUAACCUGGGAAUGGCAUUCAAGACUGGUUAGCUAGAGUCUUGUAGAGGGGGUAGAAUUCCAUGUGUAGCGGUGAAAUGCGUAGAGAUGUGGAGGAAUACCGGUGGCGAAGGCGGCCCCUGGACAAAGACUGACGCUCAUGUGCGAAAGCGUGGGGAGCAAACAGGGAUUUAGAUACC